rnacentral:rRNA from 1 species
UACGUAGGGGGCUAGCGUUGUCCGGAAUCAUUGGGCGUAAAGAGCGUGUAGGCGGCCCGGUAAGUCCGCUGUGAAAGUCGGGGGCUCAACCCUCGAAUGCCGGUGGAUACUGUCGGGCUAGAGUGCGGAAGAGGCGAGUGGAAUUCCUGGUGUAGCGGUGAAAUGCGCAGAUAUCAGGAGGAACACCGAUGGCGAAGGCAGGUCUCUGGGCCGAUACUGACGCUGAGGAGCGAAAGCGUGGGGGAGCGAACAGG